CUACGGGGCGCAGCAGUGAGGAAUAUUGCACAAUGGGGGGAACCCCGAUGCAGCAACGCCGCGUGGAGGAUGACGCAUUUCGGUGUGUAAACUCCUUUUAUAUGUCAAGAAAAUGACGGUAGCAUAUGAAUAAGCACCGGCUAACUCCGUGCCAGCAGCCGCGGUAAUACGGAGGGUGCAAGCGUUACUCGGAAUCACUGGGCGUAAAGGACGCGUGGGCGGGUUGGAAAGUCAGGUGUGAAAUCCUACAGCUUAACUGUAGAACUGCACUUGAAACUUCUAAUCUAGAGUAUGGGAGGGGGAGAUGGAAUUAGUGGUGUAGGGGUAAAAUCCGUAGAUAUCACUAGGAAUACCUAAAGCGAAGGCGAUCUCCUGGAACAUUACUGACGCUAAGGCGUGAAAGCGUGGGGAGCAAACAGGAUUAGAUACCCCGGUAGUC
rnacentral:rRNA from 1 species